rnacentral:rRNA from 1 species
UACGGGGGGAGCAAGCGUUGUUCGGAUUUACUGGGCGUAAAGGGCGCGUAGGCGGUCAGCACAAGUCAGUUGUGAAAUCUCCGGGCUUAACUCGGAAAGGUCAACUGAUACUGUGCGACUAGAGUGCAGAAGGGGCAACUGGAAUUCUCGGUGUAGCGGUGAAAUGCGUAGAUAUCGAGAGGAACACCUGCGGCGAAGGCAGGUUGCUGGGCUGACACUGACGCUGAUGCGCGAAAGCCAGGGGAGCGAACGGG